rnacentral:rRNA from 1 species
GACGAACGCUGGCGGCGUGCUUAACACAUGCAAGUCGAACGGAAAGGCCCUGCUUUUGUUGGGUGCUCGAGUGGCGAACGGGUGAGUAACACGUGAGUAACCUGCCCUUGACUUUGGGAUAACUUCAGGAAACUGGGGCUAAUACCGGAUAGGAGCUCCUGCUGCAUGGUGGGGGUUGGAAAGUUUCGGCGGUUGGGGAUGGACUCGCAGCUUAUCAGCUUGUUGGUGGAGUAGUGGCUUACCAAGGCUUUGACGGGUAGCCGGCCUGGGAGGGUGACCGGCGACAUUGGGACUGAGAUACGGCGCAGACUCGUACGGGAGGCAGCAGUGGGGAAUAUUGCACAAUGGGCGGAAGCCUGAUGCAGCAACGCCGCGUGCGGGAUGACGGCCUUCGGGUGGUAAACCGCUUUCGCCUGUGACGAAGCGUGAGUGACGGUAAUGGGUAAAGAAGCACCGGCUAACUACGUG